GUGCCAGCAGCCGCGGUAAGACAGAAGGUGCAAGCGUUACUCGGAAUUACUGGGCGUAAAGCGUCUGUAGGUUUCCUUUUACGUCUGGCGUAAAAUUUCGGUGCUCAACACCGAAUGCGUGCCGGAAACGGAUAGGAUAGAGUCAGUCAGAGGCAUCUGGAAUGUCGUGUGUAGGGGUAAAAUCCGUAGAUACACGAUGGAACGCCAAAAGCGAAGGCAGGAUGCUAGGACUGUACUGACACUCAGAGACGAAAGCGUGGGGAGCAAAGGGGAUUAGAUACCCCCGUAGUCC
rnacentral:rRNA from 1 species